UACAGAGGGGGCAAGCGUUGUCCGGAAUUACUGGGCGUACAGCGCGCGCAGGCGGUUGCCGACGUGCCGUGUGACAAACGGGGGCUCAACCCCCGAGGGCCACGGUAAACGGGGCGACUGGAGGAAGGGAGAGGGAUGUGGAAUGCCCGGUGGAGCGGUGAAAUGCGUAGAGAUCGGGCGGAACACCAGCGGCGAAGGCGGGUCUCUGGGCCGAUACUGACGCUGAGGAGCGAAAGCGUGGGGAGCGAACAGG
rnacentral:rRNA from 1 species